CAGCAGCAGCCGCGGGAAUACAGAGGGUGCGAGCGUUAAUCGGAUUUACUGGGCGUAAAGCGUGCGUAGGCGGCUUUUUAAGUCGGAUGUGAAAUCCCUGAGCUUAACUUAGGAAUUGCAUUCGAUACUGGGAAGCUAGAGUAUGGGAGAGGAUGGUAGAAUUCCAGGUGUAGCGGUGAAAUGCGUAGAGAUCUGGAGGAAUACCGAUGGCGAAGGCAGCCAUCUGGCCUAAUACUGACGCUGAGGUACGAAAGCAUGGGGAGCAAACAGGAUUAGAGACCCCAGUAGUCCCUGUCUCUUAUAA
rnacentral:rRNA from 1 species